GUGUCAGCAGCCGCGGUAAGACGUAGGUGGCGAACGUUAUCCGGAAUUAUUGGGCGUAAAGGGUGCGUAGAUGGCUUGACAAGUUAGUGGUGGGAAAUCGAGGCUCAACCUCGUGGAAGUCACUAAUACUAUCAAACUAGAGUGCAGGAGAGGUUAACGGAACUCCAUGUGUAGCGGUAAAAUGCGACGAUAUAUGGAUGAACACCAAUAAAGGCAAAGGCAGUUAACUAUUCUGCUACUGACAUUGAGGGCACGAAAGCGUGGGGAGCAAAACGGAUUAGAUACCCGUGUAGUCC
rnacentral:rRNA from 1 species